AAUGAACGCUGGCGGCAGGCCUAAAACAUGCAAGUCGAGCGCCCUAGCCAUAGGGAGCGGCGCACGGGUGAGUAACACGUGGGAAUAUGCCUUUUGGUACGGAACAACGUUUGGAAACGAACGCUAAUGCCGUAUGGUCCCUUCGGGGUAAAGAUUUAUCGCUAAAGGAUUAGCCCGCGUUGGAUUAGCUGGUUGGUAGGGUAAUGGCCUGCCAAGGCGACGAUCCAUAGCUGGGCUGAGAGGACGAUCAGCCACACUGGGACUGAGACACGGUCCAGACUCCUACGGGAGGCAGCAGUUAGGGAUAUUGGAGAAUGGGCGCAAGCCUGAUCGAGCCAUGCCGCGUUAGUGAUGAAGGCCUUCGGGUUGUAAAGCUCUUUAGCCGAUGAUUAUAAUGACUGUGGUCGGAAAAUAAGCCCCGGCUAACUUCGUGCCAGCCGCCGCCGUAA
rnacentral:rRNA from 1 species